UACACUCCUACGGGAGGCAGCAGUGGGGAAUUUUGGACAAUGGGCGAAAGCCUGAUCCAGCAAUGCCGCGUGAGUGAAGAAGGCCUUCGGGUUGUAAAGCUCUUUUGUCAGGGAAGAAACGGUGAGAGCUAAUAUCUCUUGCUAAUGACGGUACCUGAAGAAUAAGCACCGGCUAACUACGUGCCAGCAGCCGCGGUAAUACGUAGGGUGCAAGCGUUAAUCGGAAUUACUGGGCGUAAAGCGUGCGCAGGCGGUUUUGUAAGUCUGAUGUGAAAUCCCCGGGCUCAACCUGGGAAUUGCAUUGGAGACUGCAAGGCUAGAAUCUGGCAGAGGGGGGUAGAAUUCCACGUGUAGCAGUGAAAUGCGUAGAUAUGUGGAGGAACACCGAUGGCGAAGGCAGCCCCCUGGGUCAAGAUUGACGCUCAUGCACGAAAGCGUGGGGAGCAAACAGGAUUAGAAACCCUAGUAGUCCCA
rnacentral:rRNA from 1 species